rnacentral:rRNA from 1 species
UGAACGCUAGCGGCAGGCUUAACACAUGCAAGUCGAGGGCAGCAUGAGACGGAGAUUCGGUCGAAGUCUUGAUGGCGACCGGCGCAAGGGUGCGUAACGCGUGAGCAACUUACCGUUCAGGGGCAUAACCGGUGGAAACGCCGACUAAUUCCCCAUAGUAUCAUCGAGAGGCAUCUUUUGAUGAUUAAAGAAUUUCGGAAACGGAUAGGCUCGCGUGACAUUAGCUAGAUGGCGGGGUAACGGCCCACCUAGCCUUCGAUCAUUAGGGGUUCUGAGAGGAAGGUCCCCCACACUGGAACUGAGACACGGUCCAGACUCCUACGGGAGGCAGCAGUGAGGAAUAUUGGUCAAUGGGCGGAAGCCUGAACCAGCCAAGUAGCGUGAAGGAUUACAGCCCUACGGGUUUUAAACUUCUUUUAUAUAAGAGUAAUGUGCACUACGUGUAGUGUAUUGCAAGUAUUAUAUGAAUAAGCAUCGGCUAACUCCGUG